rnacentral:sRNA from 2 species
UCGCUUCGAGCGCCGAAGGCAGGAGCGGGGGACCCAAGGUUUGUGCCGGACCCGUCGUCGCGAGACGGCGGGAACGGCUAGGGGUUAAGCCGUGCGCAAGGUCGCACAGCCGGGCAACUCAUUGGCCCGCACCCGACAGCUCACCUCGCAGGCGUCGGUGAGGAGAUCC